rnacentral:rRNA from 1 species
UACGGAGGGUGCAAGCGUUAUCCGGAUUCACUGGGCUUAAAGGGUGCGUAGGUGGGUUGGUAAGUCAGUGGUGAAAUCUCCGAGCUUAACUUGGAAACUGCCAUUGAUACUAUCAGUCUUGAAUAUUGUGGAGGUCAGCGGAAUAUGUCAUGUAGCGGUGAAAUGCUUAGAUAUGACAUAGAACACCAAUUGCGAAGGCAGCUGGCUAGACAUAUAUUGACACUGAGGCACGAAAGCGUGGGGAUCAAACAGG